GCAGAAGUCAUUGGAAAGGGAAUGCCGUGAAAAGCGGUAACAGUACCCGCUGCUGUGAUUCCCUAUGAGCUUGAAACAAUAUGCCACUGCAAAUAUUUGCGGGAAGGUGUUUCAAAGGAGGGAUAAGUCAGAAGACCUGCCAAUGUAUCA
rnacentral:ncRNA from 1 species